rnacentral:lncRNA from 1 species
AGUGUUAAAAAGGCUUGAUCAUCAGCCUGGUGCUGUUGGAAGAUGGACACCUUUGAGAGGAAUGGUGCCACUCCCUGGCCCAAGAAUAUACAAACCAUCACAUUUAUGAAGUAUGUAUUAAUCGUAAUAGCCACAGGUUCCUUUGGUCUACUUUUGUGUACAACAAACCUUAAAGGAAGAUGGCUGAAGACAGGCUAGCCAGGUACAAGCUCCACUUAGGAUAUGCAGUGUCUGAAACGGCUCCGAGGGUCUUGCUCUGCCUCCUCCCACACCAGAAGUGAGCAUCAGGUGGUGGCGAGCGCGUAGACAGGGUGAAAGGUGUGAGGGUUAGCGACAGAUCUGCGUAUUCACCUUGCUGGUCACCGGCCACCACCACCUCGGCGCCAAUGAAUUUUCUGUCGCGAGCCCCGCUAACGGCUUGCCGCUGAAAACUCUGGGAAAUGUAGUUAGGCGCGAGCAAGCUGUCGUUAGUUGCAGGUCUGAGGCGGGAACCGGGGCUCCUCAUGUGUUCGCGGCUCGGUUCAGCCUUCCACGGAUGUGACUCUGGGUUAACCGUCUAGUUCCUUCACGUUGUCCGGAAUAGCAGAAUGGAUCCUGGUGAUCGGAGCAAUUAGGUGCUGUCCAUGGGCUGGGGAGAUGACACAGGGGUCCAUCACUAAAAAAAAAAAGAAGAGUGGGAGAGUGAAAGGACCAGCCAUGUAAAGGUGCUUACCACCGAGCCGGACAGCCUGACGUCAGAGUCAAUCCCCAGCACCCACACACGGAACAAAGCAAGGGCUCCUGAAGUUCUGCCAUUCCCCGUGGUCUGCAGUUCAGGAAGCUUCUGGAACAUGCGGCGCCUCUGCCAUGGAAACACGAUCCGCGUCGUCAGCUUCAGAUGUGAUCUUGGAACGCUGGGUUCGCCUUGGCAGCUGUCUGAAAGUUAAUCCUGUGAAGGGACCUGAAGCAGCCCUCUGAGGAAGCCUCGCGCACCCCUGCCGAAGAACAUCGCAGUGUGUUCAUUCCCCUUCCGUUGGCCUCAGGAUCCAAGCAGGAAAGAAGAGGGAAGAACUCUGAAGGACAUGAGAGGGACCCAGCUUACAGUCCAGGAAAGGCAGCCCCUCCUCUCAGCAGGUGUGUGAGCUGAAGGGACCCAAGGAACUAACCAGAGAGGACCAGUGGGCAACCGUCAGUCUGGAUUCCCAGCCCCCGAGUAGAUUUGUGGCCAGCCUGGUGUGGAAGGAAGCUGGAAGCCACCUGAAUAGUGGUUCGUUGCCAGCAUCAACCGGCUCACAUUACAGCAGCCUAGCUCCUUCACCAGAUAGCAGAGGUUGCUCUGACGAUAUUUACAAGUAACCCAUCCACUGCAGCGGCUUCUGGAACACACAGCGGCCAGGCCUUCCUGCUGAUCGCAGGCAAGCAGAGUUCCUGGGGAUGAGGCAUCAGGAGCCCUCACAAGACCAAGGCAAGGAACUAAAGAAAGAACCCAGAGCCCGGUGGCGGUGGCACACACCUUUCACCCCAGCACAUGGGAGGCAGAGGCAUGCAGAUCUCUGAGUUCAAGGACAACCAGGGCUACAUGGAGAAACCCUGUCUCAAAAAACCACCGAAAGGAUGGAGAUUUUACUGUGUAAUAAAGAGGAGAGAGAGGCUAUGAAGGAGACAUGUAGCCCAGCAGGAGAAGGAUGUUUUGGGAAGCACAGGCCUAGAUUCUUCUCUUAUGUACAGGGUUGGAGACUCUUAGUGGACCCCAAGGGUCACCUGUGCAGGACUGUGUGUCAUCUGGAGCUCUCUGUCCCAAAGACACUAGUGUCCCUUAAACCUAGCCUUUCUGUUGUUCCCAGACUGCCCUUUGAGAAUAAAAUAGGAGGCCAGAACCAAAGUCUUUUGGAUAAAACACCGCGACUGACCACACACUAACCCAUUUGGCUGCCCUCCUUCCCAAGGCACAGAUCAUCCCAGCAUGUGAAGGCCUCCUUCUCUCCCUCCCUCCUUCCCUUCUGACCCAUUUUCACUCUUCCACCACACAAUCAAAACAAUAUUUGAAAGUGUCUUUUGCAUUCUCCACGGAGUCUUCAAGUGCUGCAACACUGAGGGAAGGGCCGUGCCUAGUAGCUGUGUGUCACUAUGGACUCUGUGGUAUAGGAGAUGGGCUCUGGCCAGUUGCCUUUGAAGAUGAACUUCGUUUCCAGAUAGUUUUCACACAGGGCGGUAGGAGAUUUCUUACUGCUACACCUUCCACCCUAGCCCUGACCCUCGCCACCAGGCCGCCCAGCCAUAUUAGCUCAGAAGAUCCAUAAAGGGGCUGGAGCCCCAGUCCCCUCCCCUCUGCUUGAAGAUGUUAUUAAUUAGAGUUGUGCUAGGAUGCAGGAAUGACCUUGGGAAGGGGCACUUGGUGACUAAGCAAGAAUGGGCACGGGUGUGCUGACUCACCACACCCAGCUUGCAGGGGAGGCUGACUGAGGACCACCCUCAGGGUGACCUUGGAGGUCUGCAGGCUCAGCUCCCGCAUUGCCUAGUCCUAUACCUGUCGGGGAAAUGGUAACUUCGGAACUUAGUAGGCAGACAGUUUCUGGAGGUAACAUAGAGACAUGAAGGGGUACACUGAGCUGGUCCCCAAGGGGGCCCCAGGUGAAGGUCACAGCCCUUCCUUUUCGCCUACGGCUGAGUUCUGGGUCCCACCAAGAAUAGAACUCCCCUUCCUCGUUGGCUAUGAAAAUGUCUUAAUGUCUCUAAAUCCCAAGUUGCCUUAUGGCCACAGCCCUGCUUCCAACCUUCUUCUAAAGCAAGUACGUUAAGAGAUGGAGAUGUCGCUCAAUUGGUAAGGUGCUUGCCUAGCGUGCACAGAGAAGCCCUGGCUCCCUUUUGCAAUUCUUCAGAAACCAGGUGUGGUGGUGCAUUCUUGUAAUCCCAGUACUUGGGAACAUGUGGGCAGGCCGCAUCGGGAUCUGUUGUCUCCAGUGUACCGGACGCUGGCUGGAAAUUAGUUGCUAGGAUGUAAUCUGUGCUGAGUCUCUAGGACAGUGUCUCCAGUCGGACCUAGAAUGACUGUCCUGAGCCACAUUCAACAAGAAAUAGCACAAAGGGGUAGAAGAGACAGAGGUGGAGAAAGUGCAGGUUCUGAAGGGACAGAUGAAAGGUAAUCCAGGUUCAUUCUAAAGUGGGCAGGGCUUCCAGGGGCCUUCUCAAGACAUCAGUCUAGAGACCUGUAAAGAUCUACACCCUUGCUGAUCUUGGCAGCACACACCUGUAACCCCAGCAAGGCAGGGCACCCAAGAGUUCAAAGUCAUCCUUGGCUACAAAGUGAGUGUGAGACUAGCCUGGGUAUCAUAGUUGAAGUCCUUCCUCAAAACAAACAAACAAACAAAAGCUGUUUAGGCCCCGGGCUGUGUUUCUCAUUGCCCUACUCCCUGGUCUGAGGUUAUCGGCAGGGCUCCCAGCUGUUGAGCCAGCUGUGUCUUCAUUGAGGUCCCUGACUGGCAUUCUGUCAUCCCCCAUCUGUGUGAGAGGAUCUCUUUUUGGGUUUUUUGUUUGGUUGGUUGGUUGGUUUGGUUUGGUUUUUUGAGACAGGGUUUCUCUGUGUAGCCCUGGCUGUCCUGGAACUCACUUUGUAGACCAGGCUGGUCUCGAACUCAGAGAUCCACUUGCCUCUGCCUCCCAAGUGCUGGGAUUAAAGGCGUUCGCCACCACGCCAGGCGAGAGGAUCUCUUAAGUGUACCUAAUUUGCAAGUGCUCACAGUGACCUGUGGGUCCCAGGCAGCGACUCAUUGAAUCUUCUCAACAAGCUUUGAAAUAAGUCUUUUGUGGCCUCCUGUUACAACUGAGGGAGAUAGAUGUAGAGAGCUUCCCUCAGCUCUCUGAUCCACGCAACUCCUGAGUGGAGGAGCCAGGACUCAAAUCUGUAUCUUCCCUGCAUCCAUGACCUAAAAAGUCCUAGUGUUGGGUUGCAGGAGUUUCACUUACAUUUGCUAGGAUAAGCAGCCCGAUUUCUGGACUCUGUGGCCCUUUAAAAAUCCUGCUGCUUCUACAAUCUCUUCUUUAGCCUGCCCAAACCUAUCUAAUGCUUUACAGGAACAUGUGUGCCCGUGAGAGACAUGAGCUAAGGCAAUGAGAAGCUGUGACGCAGAUUCUGACACCAGCCCUCAGUACAUACCUUGUGCACCCCACAUGGUAUAAGGAGCUGGGUCUAGGUGCUAAGGCCAGCAGCUCACGGGCAAAGUGAGUCUCAGCCUGUAAAGAGAACAAGGCAGAUGUGCCUCCAGAGAGAAAAAAAGAACACAUGGAGAUGAAAUCCGGGCUUGGGGGCAAAGAGGAACCGUUUAAAUGUGUGUGUGCCUUGUGAAAGAAUUACACUCCCCGCCCCACCAUCACCAGAUGUGAUGACAGUACUUACAUAAGGUACUGUAUGUAGAUUGAACUCUGGACCUCACACAUUCUGGAAAGGGCUCUCCCACUAAGCCACAUCCCCAGCCCCUCACUGGGAUUCUGGGCAGGCGCUCUACUGCUGAGUCACGUCCCCAACUCUCUUUUGACUUAAUUUUGAGACUAGGUCUUACUGAGUUGCCUAGGCUGGCCUGAAUCUCACUCUGUAGCCCAGGCUGGCCUUGGACUCACAUUUUUCCCCCUGCUUAGCCUGCUGAGCCCCUGGGAUCAUAGACUUGCCUAGUUAUACCCAUUUGCUGCUGCAGCUAAUACCUUUAAACCAGUCUCCCCCCACCCCAGAAAACCUUCCUAGCUUAGUAUUAUCUUAAAUUCAGUGAAGAGAACAGCAGCUUUUCCCUGUUCCUCCACAUGAGGGCGCUACACCACUCAGCCAUGGGGUGAUGUGUUCAAGCCUCUCCCACAACCUUUAUGGGUGCAUUUCUUUUCUGUGUAUUCUCUAAUGAGAAGCACUGGGCCACCUCUGCAUGGUUUUUCUUGCCAAUUUCUCUUGUAGCCCUCUCUCCCAGCAGACAACCACAUUCAGCACACCCCUCACUUGUGCACUGCCAUGGCCGUCCGUUCCUUGUGACCAGCCAGAUGACUUAGAUAAUAGGGGAGUUUGAAAUGAAUGAGCUGAUACUAUCUGUAGGUUAGGAUUCUGACCAAAAGGUCUUCAGGGCUCUAGGGGAAGGGAUUAAUUGAAAUACCUUCCCGAGCAUAGGGCUUUUCUCCAGUGUGAAUUCUCUGACGUUGAAUGAGUUUCAUGAAUCUUGAAAGCCAUCACGUGGUCACUGUUGUUGGUAGAUUUCUGUUGUGCAAAAGUAGCCAGGGUGCUUGGAUGCUGGCUGCCUCCUCCCACACCCUCGGGACACUCUCAGGUGAAUGUUGGAGCAGUGUUAGGAAACUGCUUUGUGUUCCUAACAGUCGAUAUUGGUUCCUGCUGUUACAACUGUUACAAUGUUAAAUAAAUAAACUUGAUCCAGACUCA